AACCCGACUACAUGAAGCUGGAAUCGCUAGUAAUCGCGGAUCAGAAUGCCGCGGUGAAUACGUUCCCGGGUCUUGUACACACCGCCCGUCACACCAUGGGAGUCGGAAAUGCCCGAAGUCGGUGACCGAACCGAAAGGAAGGAGCCGCCGAAGGCAGGUCUGGUGACUGGGGUGAAGUCGUAACAAGGUAAC
rnacentral:rRNA from 1 species